rnacentral:rRNA from 1 species
UACAGAGGGUGCGAGCGUUGUCCGGAAUCACUGGGCGUAAAGGGCGCGUAGGCGGCCCGUUAAGUAGGGGGUGAAAUCUUGCGGCUCAACCGCAAGGCUGCCUUCUAGACUGUCGCGCUUGAGCACAGUAGAGGCAGGGGGAAUUCCCGGUGUAGCGGUGGAAUGCGUAGAGAUCGGGAAGAAAAUCGGUGGCGAAGGCGGACUGCUGGGCUGUUGCUGACGCUUAGGCGCGACAGCGUGGGGAGCAAACAGG